rnacentral:rRNA from 1 species
CACGUAGGGGGGCAAGCGUUGUCCGGAUUUAUUGGGCGUAAAGAGCUCGUAGGCGGUUCGGUAAGUCGGGUGUGAAACCUCCAGGCUCAACCUGGAGAGGCCACCUGAUACUGCUGUGACUCGAGUCCGGUAGGGGGAGCGUGGAAUUCCUGGUGUAGCGGUGAAAUGCGCAGAUAUCAGGAGGAACACCAGCGGCGAAGGCGGCGCUCUGGGCCGGAACUGACGCUGAGGAGCGAAAGCGUGGGUAGCAAACAGG